AGUGAACGCUGGCGGUAGGCCUAACACAUGCAAGUCGAACGGCAGCACAGUAAGAGCUUGCUCUUACGGGUGGCGAGUGGCGGACGGGUGAGGAAUACAUCGGAAUCUACUUUUUCGUGGGUGAUAACGUAGGGAAACUUACGCUAAUACCGCAUACGACCUACGGGUGAAAGCAGGGGAUCUUCGGACCUUUCGCGAUUGAAUGAGCCGAUGCCGGAUUAGCUAGGUGGCAGGGUAAAGGCCCACCAAGGCGACGAUCCGUAGCUGGUCUGAGAGGAUGGUCGGUCACACGGGAACUGAGACACGGUACAGACUCCUACGGGAGGCAGCAGUAGGGAAGCUUCCGCAAUGGGCGAAGGCCUGACGGAGCAACGCCGCGUGAGUGAUGAAGGUCUUCGGAUCGUAAAACGCUGUUAUUAGGGAAGAACAAAAGUGUAAGGAACUAUGCACGUCUGGACGGGACCUAAUCAGAAAGCCACGGCUAACUACGUG
rnacentral:rRNA from 1 species